GACGGGUGAGUAACGCGUGGGGAUGUGCCCUUCACUAAGGAAUAGCUUUUGGAAACGAAAGGUAAUACCUUAUACGGCCUACGGGCGAAAGAUUUAUCGCUGAAGGAUCAACCCGCGUUAGAUUAGCUAGUUGGUGAGGUAAUGGCUCACCAAGGCGACGAUCUAUAGCUGGUCUGAGAGGACGACCAGCCACACUGGGACUGAGACACGGCCCAGACUCCUACGGGAGGCAGCAGUGGGGAAUCUUGCACAAUGGGCGAAAGCCUGAUGCAGCCAUGCCGCGUGAAUGAUGAAGGCCUUAGGGUUGUAAAAUUCUUUCAUCAGGGAUGAUAAUGACAGUACCUG
rnacentral:rRNA from 1 species